CGAGCACGCGCGUGUGGCAUAUCAAUAAGCGGAGGAAAAGAAACUAACAAGGAUUCCCUUAGUAACGGCGAGUGAAGCGGGAAGAGCUCAAAUUUGAAAUCUUCAAGGUUCUACCUUGACGAAUUGUAGUUUAUAGAAGUGUUUUCUGUUAGUAGGAGUGGCAAAAGUUCUUUGGAAUAGGACAUCAUAGAGGGUGAGAAUCCCGUAUUUGGUCAUUCCUCCUAGCGUUGUGAUACACUUUCAACGAGUCGGAUUGUUUGGGAAUGCAGUCCAAAAUGGGUGGUAAAUUUCAUCUAAAGCUAAAUAUUGGCGAGAGACCGAUAGCGAACAAGUACCGUGAGGGAAAGAUGAAAAGAACUUUGAAAAGAGAGUUAAACAGUACGUGAAAUUGUCAAAAGGGAAGCGUUUGACACCAGUGUUGUUUUUCCGAAAAUCAAUUACGAAUGUUUUGUUUUUAAGGAGUUAUGACUUCAUCGGCUUGCUUCUCUCUUUAUGAAACUUUCUUAAUGCACUUUUCGGUUAACAAGUCAACAUCAAUUUCUUUUGUUGUAAAAGGGUAUGAGGAAGGUGGCUUUCUUUUCGGAGAAAGUGUUUAUAGCCUUGUGCCUCUGCAAUCGGAGAGAUUGAGGUCUGCAGCGUAGAUCCUUCGGGGUUAGAUACGUUUGUGCUAAGUUAUAGCUUUUCAUAGACAACUUGUUGACUAUGUUUAGUCUUGUAGCUUACUCGCUGACGCUAUUUUACCUACGCUUAGGAUGUUGAUGUGAUACUGCGAGCA
rnacentral:rRNA from 1 species